rnacentral:rRNA from 1 species
CCUACGGGAGGCAGCAGUGUGGGAUAUUGCACAAUGGGGGAAACCCUGAUGCAGCGACGCCGCGUGGGUGAAGAAGCGCCUCGGCGCGUAAAGCCCUGUCAGCAGGGAAGAAAAUGACGGUCCCUGAAGAAGAAGCACCGGCUAACUACGUGCCAGCAGCCGCGGUAAUACGUAGGGGGCAAGCGUUAUCCGGAUUUACUGGGUGUAAAGGGGGCGCAGACGGGGAUGUAAGCCAGGAGUGAAAGCCCGGGGCCCAACCCCGGGACUGCUCUUGGAACUGCGUGGCUAGAGUGCAGGAGGGGCAGGCGGAAUGCCUGGUGUAGCGGUGAAAUGCGUAGAUAUCAGGAGGAACACCGAUGGCGAAGGCGGCCUGCUGGACUGCAACUGACGUUGAGGCCCGAAAGCGUGGGGAGCAAACAGGAUUAGAUACCCCUGUAGUC